AGCCCUCUUGGCCUUUUUCCUUUCCUCGCUACAGCUCCUUUGUCAAACUCCUGUUUGUUCUCCGUGUUCAAAUGUACCCUACCAAACCUUAAGAUCAUCUUUCAAGGCUCUGUGUUCAAUGCUACUACUUAAUGAAGUGUGGCAGGUGGCCACUAGGGAUAAGGCCUUUUUGGCGGUGCUACCCCAGUGAUGAAAAAGACUUUCAAACAAGACCUGCCUGGCACCACCUUUGUGGUCUUUUCAGGCACUUGCUGUUACAGCUAAAGUACUGGAAGUUACUAGUGGAUUCCAUAUAUAAAUAAAAACAUUUAGGUCCCUGGAAUAAAUGCAUUUUACUGUGACUAGUGUAAUGCAGCUUAAAAAAAAUAAACCACCUUCAUCGCAUAUGUAGCAAACAAAGCUGAUCUGGGGUCACUGUCAGUAGCUGAGCAUCUAUUUGGCAGUCUGGAGGUUAUAUAUUCCAGGCAAGUAGACAGAAGUCUUGUGCAGAAGAGAUCUAAGGGUGCACUGGAAGGAAGGGCUGAAAUCAAUGGACGACAACAACC